rnacentral:lncRNA from 1 species
AAAAUUAAUUAAUUGGAUAAGGAUGUUUUGGAGAAUAUCAAUAUAUGAUAAUAUUAAUUCUUUUUAGAUUAAGUAGAAAGAUAAAAAAAUAAGAUUAACAACUUAAUGAAUUAAUGACUCAAAAUUUACACAAAUGAGAAUCAUGCUUUUGACAUCAAGUCUAGGGUUGUGACUUCUGUGCCUGCGACCCCAUGUAAUGCCCUUCAAUUCCGUGAAAUGGCUAGUAUCAUUCCAUGCGUUCCCGAUUCCUUGAGGGCCAUGACAAAUCAUUGACUUAAAGGCCUGCAGGGCAGCACGAUCUCCCUCCUCAAAGGCUGCAACUUGCGACAGUAUGAUUAAAAAGAAAAAUGGAUGAAAAAUAAACAGAGUGGGUACUCAUUUCUACUAGUGAGAAGGCAAUUUCCUAUUUUUCCUUGGCUUGCCUUUAUAUGCGAGCUUCACCUAGCCCUGAGAGUUGUAAAUUCAAACAUAUGAGGACAAGUUCAGACUCAAAACAAGGACAUCAUCUUUCUUCUUUUUCUC